AUCCAGAUGACGAGUCUCACAAAGGACGAAACGAUCGUCUUGAAU
rnacentral:hammerhead_ribozyme from 1 species